UCAAAACAGCGGUUCUCGUUUGAUCACCAAAGUUAAGCAGUGUUGAGCCCGGUUAGUACUUCAAAUCGAAGACCACUUGCGAACACUACGUAUUGUAAG